CCAUGCGAGUUGUAUGGGAUCCCUAAAGUUCCCAUAGCAAACUGCUCAGUAACACAUGAUCAACUUGCCCUAUGGAGAGCACUAACCUCGGGAAACUGAGGAUAAUGGCUCAUACUUGAUUAGGCUUGGAAAAGUUUUUCAAUGAAAGGCGUAAGAAAAAUGGUUCUUAUGCGCCAUAGGAUAGGAUCGUGCUCGAUUAUGGUAGUUGGUGAGGUAACGGCUCACCAAGCCGAUAAUCGAUAGGGGCCGUGAGAGCGGUUGCCCCGAGAUGGGUACUGAGACAGCGACCCAGGCCUUACGAGGCGCAGCAGGCGCGAGACCUCCGCAAUACACGCAAGUGUGACGGGGUUACCCAAAGUGUCCUUAUUGGACUGUGGCGGGUGAGUAAUGUUCCCCGCUAGAAAGGAGAGGGCAAGGCUGGUGCCAGCCGCCGCGGUAAAACCAGCUCUUCAAGUGGUCGGGAUAAUUAUUGGGCUUAAAGUGUCCGUAGCCGGUUUAGUAAGUUCCUGGUAAAACCGGGCAGCUUAACUGUCCGUAUGCUAGGAAUACUGCUUGGCUUGGGAACGGGGGAGGUCAGGAGUACGCCCGGGGUAGGGGUAAAAUCCGUUGAGCCUGGGCGGACUACCAGUGGCGAAGGCGCCUGACCAAAACGUGUCCGACGGUGAGGAACGAAAGCUGGGGGAGCGAACGGGAUUAGAUACCCCGGUAGUCCCAGCUGUAAAUCAUGCGGACUGUGGUGUUGCUUCAGAGUUAAUCUGCAGCAGUGCUGUAGCGUAGGUGUUAAGUCCGCCGCCUGGGGAGUACGCUCGCAAGAGUGAAACUUAAAGGAAUUGGCGGGGGAGCACCACAAGGGGUGGAUGCUACGGUUUAAUUGGAUACAACGCCGUGAACUUCACCAAGGGCGACGGCAGUAUGAAGGCCAGACUAAAGAUCUUGCCUGACGAGCCGAGAGGUGUUGCAUGGCCAUCGUCAGCUCGUGGCGUGAGUUGUCUGGUUAAGUCCAGCAACGAGCGAGACCCAUACCAUUAAUUGCUACUUUCACCUUUAGUGAGAGGCACCUUAAUGGGACUGCCCGCGUUAAGUGGGAGGAAGGAGUGGGCGACGGUAGGUCAGUAUGGCCCGAAUCCCUUGGGCUACACGCGGCAUACAAUGGUCGGAACAAUGGGCAGCGACUCCGAGAGGAGGAGCUAAUCCCCUAAAUCCGGCCUAAGUUCGGAUUGAGGGUUGAAACCCACCCUCAUGAAGCUGGAUCCCUAGUAAUCG
rnacentral:rRNA from 1 species